rnacentral:misc_RNA from 1 species
GUACUAAUGGAUGUAUGUUAUAUUAGGGCGAAGAUAGUGAAUUAACUAAUUGCAAAAUAUGCAAACAUCCAAGGUUUAGUUGAAGUCAAAAAGACUAUUGCACUGUGAAAAAUAAUGUCCCAUUUAAGAAAAUGUAUUACUUUCUUGUCACCCAAAGAUUGCAAAGAUUAUAUGCUUCAAACACAACUACAAAGGAAAUGAGAUGGCAUGCUGAGCAU